rnacentral:lncRNA from 1 species
UUCAUUAAGAAUAAUUUUCAAUGACCACUUGUUCUAUUUGUUUUUAAGUGAAAUACUUUUGACAAUGCAGCAGUACCUAAUGGCUUCAGUACUGCGUAUUUUAAGAGCUCACAAUAGCUUCUAUUUGAUACUAAUGAAACCUGUCACUGAUUUGAGAAGAAAAAACAAAAGUUUUGACUUAGAAUAGUGCCCAAGUAAGGGUUUAAGUUUCUGCAAAACAAGAGUGCUGGAAUUUAGUCCAAAGCCCUUAGGCUUGCUGGGCAAUGAAUUCACCUGCUGGAGACUGAGAACACUUGACGUUGCCUAAUAAAUGGGGCACUCACUGACCAUGUGAUAGUCUACUCUGCCCCAAGCAAAAUGUCACAGAACUGCUGCCACUUCUGCAUUUCUCAAAAAAAAAAAAAAAAAAAAAAAGGUUAGGAAUUCUAGUUAGUAUACAGUUAAGCCAGAGGGAGUUCUCCUUCUGUGUUCUAUAGGUAAACAAUCUGAAGACCAAGCAAUUAUUGCAAUUGUUUCACCAUUACCAAUAAGUUUUUCUAGAAAACUAACCAUGUUCUCUUUAUCCUCAACACCAUGUAUAAUAACACUUGUGAUUGAAUACCCCCUUUUUUCUUGAUGAGAGAAGGCUAAUUUUUCCAGGUAACUGCCCGUAAGUGGUGACCACAGAUAUAAUCGCUUUCUAAAUUCUGAUUGAUCUAAAUGAGUCAACCUAAUUCACCCUCCUUAAAUGUAUGAUUUAAGCAAGAAUAAUAAGUAUUUCCGACCUAUAACAGAUAGAGAGUGUCUGCUGGAACACUUCUGAGAAAUAUAUUCUCACUUUAAAGUUGAAAUUUUGUAUAUGGGAAAUAAAAAAAAAAGAUAUUUGGUAAAUGAUAUGGUUGAGAUAUUGAAUUAAUCAGUCUUCAAUUUCCUAUUAGUAUGUACACAUUUUCUCCUUGUUUAAGCCUGCUGAAACUAGAUUUUCUUUUACUUACAGCCAAAAGCACUCCAACAUGCCACUUUAACAUGUUUGUGAGGGCAUAAUCAGUCCAUGAUCAUCUGCUUAGCGGCUUGUCUCAAUGGUCAGGUUGUUAUCCCUUGCCUCAACUUGUCCUUAUUGUUCCACCACAUAAUCAAUCGCUGGAUAGUCCAUCCUGAUAAGUUCCACUUGCUGAAAGCUCUUUCCCAUUUGAGGAGAGCAACAGAAGGUUUACUCAUUUAAAAUGAGAAUCAGGGAAGAAGCAUGGAAGACAAUUCAUGUGGGAUCUCUGCAAUCACUCCUCACCCGUUAAUAAUUAAAUGGAACAGCACAAAUCCUGCUGAAGUCUCAUGAGCAAUAAUGAAAAUAAAAAUAAUUUCAGAGGAUUUGCUCAAUUUGGUAUUUUUUCAUCUUACUUAAGGAAAUAAAACUCUAAGACUUAUGAAGUCUAAAAAUAAUAUAUAUGAUUGCAUAAGUAUGAAUUUACCCUUUUUGACCAAUAGAUUUUUUUUCCCAGCAGCUAGAAGAAUGAUUAUAACUUGAAAAAAAUUAACUGGCAGAGAAAGAUUAAGAUUAUGAAUUACACAAAAAUAUGCCUUCAAUCUUCAAUAUUAAGUGCAUUGAAAGGUAAACAAAAUUUAUAAGAUAAAGGAACAGAGGAAAACAGGUGCCCAGAGCUCACAGUAAUACUAUCAGGCAGUUGCUUUAUUCCUGUCAAUUGUUUGAAUCACGUUAAUAAUAAUAAUAUCUUGUGGCGUGGCUGAUCCCUGCUUUGUCAAUCUGUUUAUAUCCUAUAAAAUCAUUUAGAAAGAAGAUAGAAG